rnacentral:rRNA from 1 species
GAUGAACGCUGGCGGCGUGCCUAAUACAUGCAAGUCAAGCGAACAGACGAGGAGCUUGCUCCUCUGACGUUAGCGGCGGACGGGUGAGUAACACGUGGAUAACCUACCUAUAAGACUGGGAUAACUUCGGGAAACCGGAGCUAAUACCGGAUAAUAUAUUGAACCGCAUGGUUCAAUAGUGAAAGACGGUUUUGCUGUCACUUAUAGAUGGAUCCGCGCCGCAUUAGCUAGUUGGUAAGGUAACGGCUUACCAAGGCGACGAUGCGUAGCCGACCUGAGAGGGUGAUCGGCCACACUGGAACUGAGACACGGUCCAGACUCCUACGGGAGGCAGCAGUAGGGAAUCUUCCGCAAUGGGCGAAAGCCUGACGGAGCAACGCCGCGUGAGUGAUGAAGGUCUUCGGAUCGUAAAACUCUGUUAUUAGGGAAGAACAAAUGUGUAAGUAACUAUGCACGUCUUGACGGUACCUAAUCAGAAAGCCACGGCUAACUACGU